rnacentral:rRNA from 1 species
UACGGGGGGGGCAAGCGUUGUUCGGAAUUACUGGGCGUAAAGGGCUCGUAGGCGGCCAACUAAGUCAGACGUGAAAUCCCCAGGCUUAACCUGGGAACUGCGUCUGAUACUGGAUGGCUUGAAUUCGGGAGAGGGAUGCAGAAUUCCAGGUGUAGCGGUGAAAUGCGUAGAUAUCUGGAGGAAUACCGGUGGCGAAGGCGGCAUCCUGGACCGACAUUGACGCUGAGGAGCGAAAGCUAGGGGAGCAACGGG